rnacentral:rRNA from 1 species
UACGAAGGGAGCUAGCGUUGUUCGGAAUCACUGGGCGUAAAGCGCACGUAGGCGGAUGUGUCAGUCAGGGGUGAAAUCCCGGAGCUCAACUUCGGAACUGCCUUUGAUACAGCACGUCUUGAGUCCGAUAGAGGUGGGUGGAAUUCCUAGUGUAGAGGUGAAAUUCGUAGAUAUUAGGAAGAACACCGGUGGCGAAGGCGGCCCACUGGAUCGGUACUGGACGCUGAGGUGCGAAAGCGUGGGAGCAAACAG